AUGUCUCUACCUGUGAGGCACUUGGACUCGUCCUGCAGCAUUUUGAGGAUCUUAAUUAUCUUAACCUCAGUCACUGUAAACUCACUGAUGCAUGUUUGAACUUGUUGUUGCCACAUCUUCACAAAGUGCAGCUUCUGGAUCUAAACAACAAUGACAUCACUGAUGCUGGGGCGCAGAGACUGCUGAAGAUCUUAGGCAGCACACAGACUGUAAACAUUUUCAACAACCAGAUCACAGACAUAAGGCUUUUCAUGAACUACCAGUCAAGUCCAGGUAACAAGUAAAACAUCACUACUGCCACUAACUUUCUAAUUUUGAUUAUAAAAAACUUACU
rnacentral:lncRNA from 1 species